AACGAACGCUGGCGGCAGGCUUAACACAUGCAAGUCGAACGCUUCGCAAGGAGAGUGGCAGACGGGUGAGUAACGCGUGGGAAUCUACCUAGUUCUACGGAACAACUGAGGGAAACUUCAGCUAAUACCGUAUACGCCCUACGGGGAAAGAUUUAUCGGAAUUAGAUGAGCCCGCGUAAGAUUAGCUAGUUGGUGGGGUA
rnacentral:rRNA from 1 species